CACAAUUUGGUUGACUGUGAGACCCCAACACCUUCAGUAAGCCUUUUCUGCGACUUUGGUUGCCUAAUCUACCCCGCUAUCUCGCUCGCUGCUCCUCGGUUUAUCUUCGCCGUGAGCUACUCUCUAUCUUCACAGGAAUGGUUCUAUACUUCCUCAGUCUACUAUGGCACUGUGAAGAAACCCUAGCCUUCAUUAGAAAGGUUACAGAUCAUGUUGUUAAUAUGGGAAUCUGAGUGCAAUUUCUGGUAAUUUCAUCCUAUUUUUUGUUGUUCUUUCAUUUCUGAGAAAGCCAUGUUUAGGAUCUUUCUUUCAAUCGGUGAAGGAUUAGCUAAAUACCCCUUGACUAUGAAGAUGACUAAGUCUUGAACACCGGAUUGCGACAUGCAAAACAGGUAAUGUCGCAAUAUCAGUGCAGAGGUUUCGCGACUACUUUAAAUGCUUACCGAUUCCGAAUUGAGUUGUGUAACAGUUCUCUAUCUGUUUUUUUAUGCGCUCUAUAUUUGCGAUAGUGUAUUUUUCCCCCAAAAAUUGGAGAAUAUGAAUCUAAGUCUAGGGUUUUAGCGAAUUCUUUGUCCGAUUUGCGAUUCUGGGAAGAGACAUAUGCUAAGCUUGGCGCUAACCAUGGUAGAAGUGGCAAUCGGUGACUUGAGUUCAAAUCGUUUUAGUAACCCUCACUUUUGAGAUAAGUUUCAAUCUACUUCAUUUUAAUUUUUUUAUAAAAAUUGUAUAAAAUUGAGUAGAUUAUUUUCGUAUUUGAACUGAUUCGUAAGCAUGCAUGAUAAUGUUGAGCCGAUAAAUUGUUUAUUUGUAGUGUUCACAAUUUACACAGAGAGCUUAGAAAAGAGAUAAGUUUUCCUACUACUACAAUUAAACAUGUAAUAGUGUAUGAUUGAAUACAUGUUUUUACUACUUUUUUGAUAGUUUAUGUAAUGCAUCUGAAGGAGACAUGCCUUUUGUUUGAUCACACUGUUUCCUCUUGGGUCCAAUUGUGCAAGAUGAUGUAAUUCUCCUCAUGUUCUGCAAUAGAAAUGGUUUAACUACUGUGUUUUUGAUAGAUUGAGUUUAUUGUGUUCAAACCAUUGUUGUCAAUCUAAGUCAUAUUUAUAUUGGUUGUGUAUUUAUAGGGAAGGUAAACUGCUUUGUCUUGAAAAUGAUGGUUCAGGGUUUAAUUAUUCAUGUUAUCAAGUACAUAGAGAACCUCAAAGGUUUUUGAAAGUGUUGUGUAUUAAUCCCAAAGAAAAAAUUUGAUUUUUUUGUUUUUAUUUUAAUGAAGAUGAAAGGUUAAUGUAUGUGGUUAUAGUUUUAUUUAUUUAGGUGGUGACACUUUUUACUCUAACUAAAUAUAUAUUUUUGUGCAUUCUAUGUCAUAAAAUGAUUGUCACUUGGGGCUUCAUUUGAAAACUGGAUUAAGAAAAAAUUUGUAUAAGUGUAUAUAAGUUUGACUUCAUUUAAACUUUUUAAAAUCGAUUUUUGCAGGGCAUCUUCAAUUCGAUUUUUGUAGAGGUGUUGGGGUCACAGAUCAAAGAUCUUACCUGACCCAAACGUAAACUUGGGAACCAAACCGAGUAUGCAGAAGGGAUCUUGUACAGUGUUUAAAUGAUGCUCCAAAGUUGUGAGGGCGAAAGGGAUACACAUUGUGAUAUUGUUUUGGAAGGCAAAGCAGAUCACUGGUGUAGAUGAGCGUGUUUGAUUCGAAGAUGAGCACUGGUGUACCAAUGCUUCGACUGUUAUUUAAAUAUACAUGGCCUGCACUAUCGUUGGAAAACCCAAUUCGGCGUAAUGAAUAUGUGAACAUAAUUGUUUACAUAAAUAUGUUAUCGGAAAACGCAGAGACCAACCUAUUUCAAAUUAGGUCUUUAAUUUGAUUGGUUGAAAUUGAUUCUGUAAACCAAAAAUAAAAGGAAACAAUUUUUUUUAAAA